AGUGAACGCUAGCGGUAGGCCUAACACAUGCAAGUCGAACGGAAGCACAUUCAGAGCUUGCACUUAAGGGGGGCGUGUGGCGGACGGGUUAUGACUAAAACGCAAUCUUCUUUUUCGUGGGGGAUUACGUAGGAAAACUUACGCUAAUACCUCAUACGUCAAACGGUUGAAAGCAGGGGAUCUUCUGACCUCGCGCGAUUGGAUGAGCCGAUGUCGAAUUGCCUCAUUAGCCGGGUAAAGCCCCACUAGGCCGACAAUCCGUAGCUGGUCUGAGAGGAUGAUCAGCCACACUGGAACGGAGACACGGUCCAAACUCGUGCGGGAGGCAGCGGUGGGGAAUAUUGGACAAGGGGCAGAAGCGUAAUCUAGCCAAACCGCGUGGGUGAAGAAGGCCCUCGGGUUGUAAAGGCAUUUUGUUGGGAAAGAAGAGCAGCAGGUUAAUACCCGGCUGUUAUGACGGUACCCAAAGAAUAAGCACCGGCUAACUUCGUG
rnacentral:rRNA from 1 species